CCUGGCGGCCAUAGCGCGGUGGUCCCACCUGAUCCCAUGCCGAACUCAGAAGUGAAACGCCGUAGCGCCGAUGGUAGUGU
rnacentral:rRNA from 1 species